GGACUACUGGGGUAUCUAAUCCUGUUUGCUCCCCACGCUUUCGCGCCUCAGCGUCAGUGUUGGCCCAGAUGGCCGCCUUCGCCACCGGUGUUCCUCCUAAUAUCUACGAAUUUCACCUCUACACUAGGAAUUCCACCAUCCUCUACCAAUCUCUAGUCUGUGAGUUUUGAGAGCAUUUCCAGGGUUAAGCCCUGGGCUUUCACUCCCAACUUUACAGACCGCCUACGCGCUCUUUACGCCCAGUAAUUCCGAACAACGCUAGCUCCCUUCGUAUUACCGCGGCUGCUGGCAC
rnacentral:rRNA from 1 species